UGCAGAUAGGGAAAUAACAGUUUCAUUGUGAUGAUUGCGGAAUCUGUAGGGUUGGUGGUCAAGAGAAUUAUUUCCACUGCGAGAAGUGUGGGUCAUGCUAUUCAGUUACACUGCGUGACAAUCAUUUGUGUGUGGAGAACUCCAUGGACAUGUGCAUUACUGGUUCUGUUAUUGCAAUUAUGUAGUUAGAUGAUAUUGAAACA